rnacentral:rRNA from 1 species
GUGAGGAAUAUUGGUCAAUGGGCGGGAGCCUGAACCAGCCAAGUCGCGUGAAGGAAGAAGGAUCUAUGGUUCGUAAACUUCUUUUGCAGGGGAAUAAAGUGCAGGACGUGUCCUGUUUUGUAUGUACCCUGAGAAUAAGGAUCGGCUAACUCCGUGCCAGCAGCCGCGGUAAUACGGAGGAUCCGAGCGUUAUCCGGAUUUAUUGGGUUUAAAGGGUGCGUAGGUGGUUUGAUAAGUCAGCGGUGAAAGUUUGCAGCUUAACUGUAAAAAUGCCGUUGAAACUGUCGGACUUGAGUGUAAAGGAGGUAGGCGGAAUGCGUGGUGUAGCGGUGAAAUGCAUAGAUAUCACGCAGAACUCCGAUUGCGAAGGCAGCUUACUAAGCUACAACUGACACUGAAGCACGAAAGCGUGGGGAUCAAACAGGAUUAGAUACCCUUGUAGUCC